rnacentral:rRNA from 1 species
GACUACUGGGGUAUCUAAGCCCGUUCGCUCCCCUGGCUUUCGCACCUCAGCGUCAGAUAUGGACCAGGCAGCCGCCUUCGCCACGGGUGUUCCUCCUGAUAUCUACGCAUUUCACCGCUACACCAGGAAUUCCACUGCCCUCUUCCAUCCUCAAGUCUCCCAGUUUUGGAUGCAGUUCUGCGGUUGGGCCGCAGGAUUUCACAUCCAACUUAAAAGACCGCCUACGCGCGCUUUACGCCCAGUGACUUCGGACAACGCUCGCCCCCUACGUAUUACCGCGGCUGCUGGCACGUAGUUAGCCGGGGCUUAUUCGCCAGGUACCGUCACAUCCUUCUUCCCUGGCAAAAGACUUUUACAUCCCGAAGGACUUCAUCAGUCACGCGGCGUCGCUGCGUCAGGCUUUCGCCCAUUGCGCAAGAUUCCUCACUGCAGCCACCCGUAGG